CCUAGCCAAAUUUGACCUUUAAAUUACUUUUGAUUCAACCGUAGAAAUUCCAAAGUAAUCCGAUAACUGCGUUUGUCAUCUCGAGAGCUUCGAACGGCACCUAUUAUUUGUGCAAACAGGAUUGCAUAAUCAAGAGGUGAAUUCUAAGGUAUGAAUAUUGUUUGCCUUUGUUCUCUUCCAUAUGUAUAUGUGUGAUAGAGGAUUAUAUGUAUUGGUUGUUAUUGAAAAGUGAUGGAAAUAGGGUUAUGGACUAUUUUGCAUGGUUUGGUUGUAUUGAAUUAUGGAAGGUGGAUAUGGUAAUUGAGUUAUGGAAGGUGGAUAUGGUGAUAUACUAUUGAAUUGAUGAUUAUUUAUGUCUAUGACUCAAUUUGGUUUAAUGGAUUGGUUGGAAGGAUAAAUGAAUCCAAACUUGAUAUUGGAGGAUGUUGUAUGAAUAUGCAUGGCAUGUGAAUGUAAUUGGAGUAUAAGAGGGUUAAAGUGACACCCUUUAUGGUGUAAUUAAGGCUUACUACUUAACCACUAGUUUGGUGAAUUCAAAUAAUUGAAUUGUGACGUUUGGUCGCUAAUACUAGAUUGCUAUAUAUGUUCAUUGUAGAUAAGUAAUCCGAAAAGACGAGAAGUCCAUUUGGGACUAGUAUUGAAGGUUGACAGUCAGGUAUGUAAAGCAUAC
rnacentral:lncRNA from 1 species